rnacentral:rRNA from 1 species
UACGUAGGGGGCAAGCGUUGUCCGGAUUUACUGGGCGUAAAGAGCGCGUAGGCGGAAGCUUAAGUGUGGCCUGAAAGCCCCCGGCUCAACCGGGGAAGGUGGCUGCAAACUGGGUUUCUUGAGGGCGAUAGAGGAGAGCGGAAUUCCUGGUGUAGCGGUGAAAUGCGUAGAUAUCUGGAGGAAUACCGGUGGCGAAGGCGGCAUCCUGGACCGGCAUUGACGCUGAGGAGCGAAAGCUAGGGGAGCAAACGGG